GAAAUGCGAUAAGUAAUGUGAAUUGCAGAAUUCAGUGAAUCAUCGAAUCUUUGAACGCACCUUGCGCUCCUUGGUAUUCCUUGGAGCAUGCCUGUUUGAGUAUCAUGAAAUCUUCAAAGUAAAUCUUUUGUUAACUCAAUUGGCUUCUACUUUGGUAUUGGAGGUCUUUGCAGCUUCACACCUGCUCCUCUUUGUUCAUUAGCUGGAUCUCAGUGUUAUGCUUGGUUCCACUCGGCGUGAUAAGUUAUCUAUCGCUGAGGACACUGUAAAAGGUGGCCAAGGUAAAUGCAGAUGAACCGCUUCUAAUAGUCCAUUGACUUGGACAAUACUUUUAUGAUCUGAUCUCAAAUCAGGUAGUACUACCCGCUGAACUUAAGC
rnacentral:misc_RNA from 1 species